rnacentral:lncRNA from 1 species
GCCUUUGGCUGUGGAUUUCCAAUUCAUGCUCUGGAUGAGGAGAAGGGGGACUUUUGCACUGGGAAGGAGAAACUGGAAAGCCUCCCUCAUUCUUUUUUUGAAAUGAGCAUGACUGGCCAUAGCUACAGCAUCUACAAUGCUGUCUAUGUUGUUGCCAAUGCUUUCCAUAAAAUGUCCUUCACUAGACUCAAAAGAAGUGCAGUGGUGGAGGAAGAAGGACUGAAACAUCAAAAACAACUUUCAUUGCUGGUAAGGAACUUAAAGUUCGCUUGUAGAUGAACGGAAUAUUUUGAGUGAAAUAAUAGAUCAUAAUGUGCAAACAAAAUGUUUGCUAAAUUCUUUAUGAUCUCAUAUUUUCAUCUUAAUUCUAGUUACCACAAUCCAGAAUGAAAGAAAAAAAGUUCAACUUUCAUACAGCAAUCUUGUUUCUUCUUCUUGGGGCCUAUGAGGUUAACAUUAGCCCAGAUCACAGUUAAAUACCUGGGGAUCAACAUGACAGCAAAAAACGGGAAUUUAUUUAAAGACAACUAUGAAAAAUGCUGGGCUGAAGUGAAAAAAGAUUUAGAAAUCUGGUCAAAUUUGAAGCUUUCACUGUUGGGUCGUAUUGCUGCGGUAAAAAUGAAUGUAUUGCCUAGAAUGUUGUUUUUGUUUCAAACAUUGCAAAUUGUGGACAAAAUGGACUGUUUCAAGAGGUGGCAGAGAGAUAUUUCUAGAUUUGUCUGGCAGGGCAAGAAGCCUAGAAUAAAAUUUAAAAUAUUAACAGAUGCAAAGGAAAGAGGUGGAUUUGCCCUGCCAGACUUCAAACUUUAUUAUGAAUCAGCAGCUUUUUGCUGGUUGAAAGAAUGGCUGCUUCUUGAAAACACUGACAUUUUGGAUCUAGAAGGUUUUAACAAUGUAUUUGGAUGGCAUGCAUAUCUGUGGUAUGACAAGGUCAAAGCACAUAAAGCAUUUAAAAAUCAUAUUGUCAGGAAAGCAUUGUUUAAUGUUUGGAUAAGAUACAAGGAUUUAUUGGAAAACAAAACCCCAAGGUGGCUGUCACCGAUGGAAGUGAAAGCUCUGAAAAGGCUCAAUAUGGAGGCCAAAUGGCCGAAAUAUUGGGAAAUUUUGGAACAAGAUGGGGAUAGACUGAAAUUACAGAGUUUUGAAAAAUUAAAAACAAAGUGCGAGACUGGCUUCAUUAUUACCAGAUAAUGGAGGCAUAUAAUUUGGACAAGAAAAUUGGCUUCCAGGUGGAAAAAUCAAAAUUGGAAACAGAACUGUUAGAACCCAAAACUAAGAAUUUGUCAAGAAUGUAUAACUUGCUGUUGAAAUGGAAUACUCAGGAUGAAAUGGUGAAAUCUGCUAUGAUUAAAUGGGCACAAGAUGUUGGACAUAACAUAAUGAUGGCUGACUGGGAACAGUUAUGGACCACAGGUAUGAAGUUUACGGCAUGUAAUGCCUUAAGAGAGAAUAUUAUGAAAAUGAUAUACAGGUGGUACAUGACACCAGUCAAGCUUGCAAAAAUCUAUCACUUGCCUCAUAAUAAAUGUUGGAAAUGUAAAGAAACCGAAGGUACAUUUUUUCACCUUUGGUGGACGUGCCCAAGGAUUAAGGCUUUCUGGGAGAUGAUUUAUAAUGAAAUGAAAAGGGUAUUUAAAUAUACCUUUCUGAAGAAACCAGAGGCCUUUCUCCUGGGCAUGGUCGGCCAAAUGGUGCCAAAGAAGGACAGAACUUUCUUUAUGUAUGCCACAACAGCAGCAAGAAUACUUAUUGCAAAGUAUUGGAAGACACAAGACCUACCCACUCUGGAAGAAUGGCAGAUGAAGGUGAUGGACUACAUGGAAUUGGCGGAAAUGACUGGCAGAAUCCGAGACCAGGGAGAAGAGUCGGUGGAAGAAGACUGGAAGAAAUUUAAAGACUAUUUACAGAAAUAUUGUAAAAUUAAUGAAUGUUAGAAUGAUGUUGGAAUGAAGCUAGGUGGUUUAAGCAGUAAUGUUAUAAAGGUGUAGGUAAAAAAGGACUGAUAACAGAUGAAACUUUAAAGUUAUAGUAUAUUAAGUUAAAGAAUCAUGAGAAAACAAAGAGGGAAAGAAAUUGCUGACUUAACUAACUGAACUGGAAUACAAAAAGGGAGGUAUGAGGAGGUCAGGGAAACAAGGAUAUGAAUGUAAGUUAUGGAAAGAUUGAUCCAUUUUUCUUUUUCUUUUUUUUCCUUUUUAAGUGUCUUUUACUCUUUUUUGUAUUUUGUAUUUUCUUGUAUUUUUACUUUUUGUUUUUGUGUAAUUCUUGUAUUUUCUGAAAUUUUAAUAAAUAUCAUUAAAACAAAACAAAACAUUAGCCCAGAUCACACUGCUGCACUUUUGGCUUACAUCUUCACAGAAAUGAACUAGUGUUAUUUCCAUAGCUUAAAAUGAUGAAUGGGUUGGUGAAAUAUUUUCAUGUGCACAGCUACUCAAAUCAGCCCAAACGGUGCUUGUCUUCUGUUCAUUCUGCACACACCGUUAUUAUUUUGUCUGAAACAUUCAACCCCAUCACUUUUGAUCAGGAAAAAAUGUUCAAGCAAUAAAUGGGUUUAAACAACAAAAAAGACUUUUGAUUGUGACCUGCAUUGUGAGGUUGCUUUAUUUUGACAACUGCCACAAUUUUUUUUUGGUAUCCCUUUCAAUGUAGCUCCAUCAUUCCCUGAGAAGUAUCUCAUUUAACAACAGUGUGGGGGAAAUGGUUUCCUUUGACAAUAACAGACAGUUUGUAGCUGGAUUUGAUGUUACCAACUGGGUUAAUUCUGGAGAAGAACCUGUAGUAAAAGUUGGGAAGAUGGAUCCCAAGGCUCACCCAGGCCAAGCAUUCACCAUCAAUGAAGAUGCCAUAACAUGGCACAUUUGGUUUAACCAGGUAAGAUUCACCAGCCAGCAAUCUGGUAGUUAUUCUUUAAUACUUGUAUGAGAAGAAAGUCACUGUCUUUGUGUCUGUGCGUGUGUCUCUGUGUACUUUUAAAAAUUUGC